rnacentral:rRNA from 1 species
CGCAGCCGCGGUAAUUCCAGCUCCAAUAGCGUAUAUUAAAGUUGUUGCAGUUAAAAAGCUCGUAGUUGAAUUUCGGGAUUGGCGCAUCGGUCGUGCCUCACGGGGUAUGAACUGGUGCAGUCAAUUUCUCACCUUCUGGAGAACCGCGAUGUCCUUAAUUGGAUGCCGCGGGGAACCAGGACCUUUACUUUGAAAAAUUAGAGUGUUUAAAGCAGGCAUUUUUGCUUGAAUACAUUAGCAUGGAAUAAUAAAAUAGGACGGCAUGGUUCUAUUUUGUUGGUUUCUAGGACCACCGUAAUGAUUAAUAGGGAUAGUUGGGGGCAUUAGUAUUCAAUUGUCAGAGGUGAAAUUCUUGGAUUUAUUGAAGACUAACUACUGCGAAAGCAUUUGCCAAGGAUGUUUUCAUUAAUCAAGAACGAAAGUUAGGGGAUCGAAGACGAUCAGAUACCGUCGUAGUCUUAACCAUAAACUAUGCCGACUAGGAAUCAGACGAUGUUAAUU